UACGAAGGGGGCUAGCGUUGCUCGGAAUCACUGGGCGUAAAGCGCACGUAGGCGGGUCGUUAAGUCAGGGGUGAAAUCCUGGAGCUCAACUCCAGAACUGCCCUUGAUACUGGCGAUCUCGAGUUCGGGGAGAGGUGAGUGGAACUGCGAGUGUAGAGGUGAAAUUCGUAGAUAUUCGCAAGAACACCAGUGGCGAAGGCGGUCUCUGGCCGUCUA
rnacentral:rRNA from 1 species